GUUUAGGCUGAAAUAUAAAAUUUAAAUUCAGGAAACAAUAAUAAAGGAAAUUUGUAGACGACAUCAGUAAUUAAAUAUUUGCUGGUUAUGAGCAUUUAUUACAUAUGUGGAUUCUAGGUUAAGAAAAAUCAAGAAAAAACAACAAUUAAAGAUGGAAGAAAGAAUGAUACUCUUCUUUAGUGUGGUAUUAUUUACACAGAUGGCGUUCUCGGUACCAACGCCGCAGCAUCACGGACCCAUAGUCCCUGCCUCAGAAGCAGUUGCUUCCAAUCCCAAGCAAGUUCUUAAGUUGAAGACGUUUGUUAAGAGGUCGCUCUCCAAACUGAAUGUCGUCUACA